GACGAACGCUGGCGGCGUGCUUAACACAUGCAAGUCGAACGGAAAGGCCCUGCUUGCAGGGUACUCGAGUGGCGAACGGGUGAGUAACACGUGGGUGAUCUGCCCUGCACUUCGGGAUAAGCCUGGGAAACUGGGUCUAAUACCGGAUAGGAGCCAUUUUUAGUGUGAUGGUUGGAAAGUUUUUUCGGUGUAGGAUGAGCUCGCGGCCUAUCAGCUUGUUGGUGGGGUAAUGGCCUACCAAGGCGGCGACGGGUAGCCGGCCUGAGAGGGUGGACGGCCACAUUGGGACUGAGAUACGGCCCAGACUCCUACGGGAGGCAGCAGGGGGGAAUAUUGCACAAGGGGCGCAAGCCUGAUGCAGCGACGCCGCGUGGGGGAGGACGGCCUUCGGGUUGUAAACUCCUUUCGCUAGGGACGAAGCUUUUUGUGACGGUACCUAGAUAAGAAGCACCGGCUAACUACGUG
rnacentral:rRNA from 1 species